rnacentral:rRNA from 1 species
AGCCAGUACGGCGAGUGAACAGGCAAGAGCUCAGAUUUGAAAGGCACUUUUGUGCCGUUGUAUUCUGAAGUUAGGGUCCUGAGAAACGAUGCUUAAGUCUUCUGGAAAGGAGCGCCAUGGAGGGUGAUAGCCCCGUCUAGCAUUGACCUCAUAUAGGAUCUUAACAUGGAGUCGAGUUGUUUGGGAAUGCAGCUCAAAUGGGUGGUAUGCUCCAUCUAAAGCUAAAUAUCUGCGAGAGACCGAUAGUAAACAAGUACUGUGAGGGAAAGAUGAAAAGAACUUUGAAAAGAGAGUGAAAAAGUACGUGAAAUUGUUGAAAUGGAAGGGUAGGCCGCUAACCAUGUAGAGCCGUGUUUGGGGGGAAGAUAAAUGCUGUAGAAUGUAGCUCCUCGGAGUAUUAUAGAUGCAGUUCAUAUUCCCACCCGAGCGCGAGGAUCUCAGGUUCUACUAAAUGGUGGUCUACCACCCGUCUUGAAACACGGACC